UAUGCACUAUUUCUCGAGGACUAAUGAAACUUGUACCUGGAAAUGUGCACUCCUAUAGGUGAUUUAUGAUGGAGAAAACCAGAUAUGCACUGAAGUUUGAACUGUGCUGCUUGAGCCACAUUUUGGCUGAGUCCUUUCAUUUCAGGUGCAAGGAUAUUGUGUCUAUCCUAGCAACUAAGUACGGGAGAAUGGACUGGUCCUGUGGCAGUGUCAGGUUUGCUUGCGUCUUCACUUCUGCGGCUCUUUUGCAUGUUGGUUUUAUUUAUUGUCUGAGGAAAAGGUCAUUUCUCGGUUGCCCAGCCCCAGAGGCCUUGUUUCCCUGCUGUGGGGAGGGUUGGUCUCCAGGGCCCUGGCAGCCGCCCCGUGACGCUCCAGGCCCCACAGGACGCUGGUGGCGGGCGCGGGGCCCACAGCCCCACAGCCCCGCGGCUGCCACACGCCUGUGCACGCGGACAGCGCACGGAGCACGGCUUGGGUAACAGUGUGGCUCUUGGGGACCAUCCCAGGUCCUGCUGAAAAGGAAAAGGACAAGCCAGAUCCCUAUUUAUUGAAGCAUGGAAGUUUUGUAUGUGCUAAGGAAAAAAAAUGGAAAGGUCCAAGACAAGCUACACCUUGACAAGAAGUACCUGAGCUAGGAGUACAAACUUUCCUGAUUCUCUUCAGCCAGAUUCCACUUGAACUGAAAACAGUUACAAUGGCUGGCCACACACAGUACCUGAGGAUGGGAAAAUACGUUUUGAAGAGCAGCAAAGCAACCUUCUUGAAGAAUUCAUGUCAGCAAGAAUUUGACUGUUCCCCUAUAAGAAGGAACCACAGAU